UUUCCGUAGGUGAACCUGCGGAAGGAUCAUUACCAAUGGCCUUUGGGCCGUUCGAGAUACCACCCCUUGCAUUUUGAGUACCUUCUGUUUCCUCGGCGGGCUCGCCCGUCUCGAGGACCACACCAAACCCUUAUUGUAGUUGCAGUAAACGUCUCAAAACAAAUUAAUCAAAACUUUCAACAACGGAUCUCUUGGUUCUGGCAUCGAUGAAGAACGCAGC
rnacentral:misc_RNA from 1 species